rnacentral:ncRNA from 1 species
UGGGCUGGCCGUAGGGCCCGGGUCCAACCAACUGGCGGGCAUACAGCCC